AUAUUUGUUAUUAUUAAAAACGUAUCAUAAUUUUUCACAGUUGUACCGCAUAUUUCCGUUUCAAUCCAAAAUAUGUUUUAUUCAGAACAAAAUAAGAGAUUAGAUUAUAUGAUUAGUGAGUUUUUAACAGAACUUAGAUU
rnacentral:sRNA from 1 species